rnacentral:lncRNA from 1 species
AAGUGGCUUGCAGUUAAUUAGGGGGUUAAAUGUAAUUAAUUUUCAGCAGCUGAAGGACAGGCAGGUGGCUGAGGGGGGUGGGUGUGGGGCUCAGGACAUGCUGAGCAUCCUUGGGAUGAAGCUGUGCUGGGAUUCUCCAGGGACAUCACUCCAAAAAGAAGAUUUUGGAGAAAUUUGGUACCAUUUUAGUGCAGAACUGAAGAAAUCUGGGGAGUAUUUUGGGGUUGUAUGCCUCAGAUAAGUGAAACUUUAUAUAAUAAACUUCUUCAGACCAGUUGAAAAUUGGAAUAUUCAUAUAGUCCACUAUAUUAAUUGUAUUUUCCACAAUGCACUAAAAAUUUUACAAUUAAUUCCAGGUUACCACUCAGACACUGGACUUCUCUUACCAUGUAGUUUGUUAAGGCUUGGUUUGGUUUUAGAGGGUUUGAAGAUUUCAACCUUCCUGUGGAUCUAUGAAAAUGUGCAUUUUUACUCUUCUGCUGCAAGUGAGUUAUUUCCUCUUCUUUUCUGUGCCUGCUGCUGUGGAAGGUGGAACAAGAGGGAAAAGUGAAGAAUCCGCUGCUGGGAAGUGCUGAAAUCCCCCUGGGCAGAGCAUUAAAUCCUGUUCUGCAGCCUUGGAUGGGUUUUAUCCAGUGAGAGCUGCUCUUGGUGGUGUUAAAAUCACCUUAUUUUUGGUAAUCAUUGCAAUUUGGAUGUCCUGGAAAAUCAAGAGGAUUUUGUUCUCCAUGUACAGAUUUGUCUGGUUUAAAGCCAAUAAUUAAAAAGUAAUUCAGCAGGGACUUGGGUUCCUGCUGUCCUUUUGCUUCCAGUUCCUCACGUGUAUGCUCAGCCCAGAAUUAUCUCCUCUAUUUAAGGGAUAUUGUUUGUGUCCUUCUGUGGGAUUUUAAAUAAAUAGAUUUUUUACAGUAUUUGCCUAAAAUGC